rnacentral:rRNA from 1 species
AUACGGAGGAUCCGAGCGUUAUCCGGAUUUAUUGGGUUUAAAGGGUGCGCAGGCGGCCAUUUAAGUCAGCGGUUAAAUCGUGGGGCUCAACCCCAUUCUGCCGUUGAUACUGGGUGGCUUGAUUGCGGUCGAGGUUGGCGGAAUUCGUUGUGUAGCGGUGAAAUGCAUAGAUAUGACGAAGAACACCGAUUGCGUAGGCAGCUGACCAGACCGCAAAUGACGCUCAUGUACGAAAGUGCGGGGAUCGAACAGGAUUAGAUACCCUGGUAGUCCGCACAGUAAACGAUGAAUACUUGUUUUCGGCGAUAUAAUGUCGGAGGCAAAGCGAAAGCGAUAAGUAUUCCACCUGGGGAGUACGCCGGCAACGGUGAAACUCAAAGGAAUUGACGGGG